rnacentral:misc_RNA from 1 species
UAAUAUUAGCUUAAUUGCAAAUAAAGAUUUUAAUUCUCUUGGGACGAUACUCUUUCUCAUCACUUUAUUACUUGAACGGCUAUUGCACUUACUUGUGUUAGCUAGAGCCCAUCAGUUGGUAUGGUGAAGUUGAAGCAGCAAUCUACACAAGUGAGUUUCGAAUUCAGACAUUAUGGCUACGAUGAUCGAUGGACCUCUCAUUCCACUUCACAUUCUCUCUAAAUUCGGUUCGUAUAA